rnacentral:lncRNA from 1 species
GUUUAAAAUUGAGUUACUUUAUUGAUAAGCAACCCCAGAAUUUUUAUAGCAUGCCCUGACCACAGGGAAAAUUAAGGUGUUUUUUUUGCCCCUGACACUUACCACUGAAGAUGUUUGUCAGCAACUGAUUAAAGUGAAACGAUUUUAAACCUCGUGGAAAUGCAAAUUACUUUCUUACACGGGAUGAAAUCAAGAGAUAAUGCUGGAGCACUAAAGCAGCGUAGGGCAUGAAUCUGGAAACUUUAUCAAGGACUUGGAAUUGCUGCCUGGAGACAAGAAUUCACCUAGAGAAGAAUCAGAGUUGUUUCCCAAGGACUUCUUGGAUGUCGUUUUGCAGAUGAAGAGCCUGGCUUGAAGGAAAGGCUUUUUAAAAAUAGGUUUGUGGGUUUUUGUAAAACCAGAAGAUGGCAGCAAGCAUUGACUAGAAUUUUUUACCACUAAACCACUUCACACCUUCAGAGCAAAGUGAUAUCCUUUG